rnacentral:siRNA from 1 species
AUAUAAAGACUCUCUUGUAGUUGC